rnacentral:rRNA from 2 species
GUUUGUUUGGAGUUAUAAAGAAUUUGACCUGCCCCCUGAUUAACUAUUAAAGGGCCGCAGUAUUAUAACUGUGCAAAGGUAGCAUAAUCAUUAGGUUUUUAAUUGAAAUCUCGUAUGAAUGGUUGGACAAAAGAAAGACUCUCUUUAUAUUAAGUUUUGAAUUUAACUUUUAAGUGAAAAGGCUUAAAUAUUCUAAAGGGACGAUAAGACCCUAUAAAACUUUACAUUGUUAUUAGUUUUGAUUGAAUUUAUGAAAUAAGAAUUUUAUUUGAUUAUUUGUUAUGUUGGGGAGACACAAGUAAAAUAUUUUUUUAACUGCUUGACAAUUAUACAAUUAUUAGUGAGUAAGUAGAAGAUCCUUUUUAAGAUUAGUAGAUUAAGUUACUUUAGGGAUAACAGUGUAAUUUCUUUUGAGAGUUCUUAUUGAAAAAGAAGGUUGCAACCUCGAUGUUGAAUUAAAAUAUCUAUAUAAUGGAGAGGUUAUAUAAGAAGGUCUGUUCGACCUUGAAAUUUUUACAUGAUUUGAGUUCAAACCGGUGUGAG